rnacentral:tRNA from 1 species
GAAACUCCUGCGUUGUCCUGCGAGAAAGCUUUCUCUCAUUUGGAGCCCCAUGCCCCUGGAAUGCGGAAGUUCCUGGCCCAGGGACUGAACCUGCACCACAGCAGUAACCCAAGCUGCUGCAGUGACCAUGCCAGAUCCUUAACCUACUGUGCCACAAGAGAAUUUCCAAUUUCUGAAUCAUUCUUGAGGUAGAGGUUUCAUGAGUCAAAUUUUCCACUUAUGGACUAUGAGAUGAUAAUGACGGCUAUGAUAAUAACAACAAAAAAAGGGUGUUAAGGGCUGAGAAAGAUGUGAUUUUUUUUUGUUUUGUUUACUUCCUUUCCUGUUUUAUUUCAUUUUAUUAUAAGCAAUCACAUUAAAUCUUUGUAUAUUUUCUCCCUUUAGUGACAAUAUAUUGUUUUAUCAGUUUUGGGCAUGGUCUACUGACCUUCACCAUGGAAGAGCAUACACGCAUUUCCAUCUGCCACCAUCACCACUUAUGUGCACCCUUUCCAUCCACCUAGUACAGUUAUAAUAGGACUCUGUUUAGAUCACUCUUUGGCUUCCAUUAUUCUAACCAUAUGAAAACCCACAGUUGACCCAGGAUAUCAAUACCAUGCUUUAUCUUUUCUGCUUACCUUUCCAUAUUCAUUCUUCACCCUUUUCCAUUCUGCUGUGUCUUGAGAGGCUGAUCUGCAUGGACUCUAUCAAAUGGCUUCCUUGCCCCAUGGUUCCUCAUUGGGUUUGACCCAUAGAAAGCACUAGCUGGACAGUGGAGGGAGAAACAACGAGGUCAUAGUAUUUGUUUGCUAGCUCCCACCUUACUAGGUUGCCAUGGGUUAACUCUGUUCUACAAAAGGCCUCAGCUCUUGUCUGGCAAUACACGCUAUAUGAGAGUCUCUUUGGAGUCAACCGAUGACAUGUACUUUUUGCUCUUUUUGUCCUGGAGUAGUAACAAUUCUUAACGUUGUUAUUAAUCUUUUCAGUUUUCCUUUUCCUUUUUUUUUUUUUUUGGUCUUUUUGGGGCUGUACCUGCAGCAUAUGGAAGUUCCUGGGCUGGGGUCAAAUCAGAGCUGCAGCUGCCAGCCUAUGCCACAGCCACAGCAAUACCAGAUCCAACCAGAUCUGCAACCGAUGCUGCAGUUUGUGGCAGCGCCCCACUGAGCAAGGUUUCAGGGAUUGAACCCACAUGCUCAUGGAUACUAGUUGAAUUCUUUUUUUUUUUAAUUAUUAUUUUUUCUUUUUAGGGCUGUACCCACAGCAUAUGGAAGUUCCCAGGCUAGGGGUUGAAUUAGAGGUACAGCAGCCAGCCUACACCACAGCCACAGCAACACCAGAUCCGAGCUGCAUCUAUGACCUACACCACAGCUCAUGGCAAUGCCAGAUCUCCGACCCACUGAGCGAGGCCAGAAAUUGAAUUUGCAUCCUCAUGGAUACUAGUUGGAUUCAUUUCCCCUGUGCCACAACAGGAACUCCUCUUUUUUAGUUUUCUUAAGUCUACCUACAUCUUUACAAAUUUUUGUGUCUUUAUUAAGGUCUCUUGAAUUAUGUUAUCUAUAAUAAUUUAUAAACAAAUUUUUGUUAGCUAUGUUAUAUAGAAAAUUAUUAAAAUUUUUUUUUAAACUUUUAAAGUUAAAAUUUUUGGGCCUUGGCAUUAAGUGGCUUGAUGUGGGAAUCUCAGUUCCUCAAUCAGGGAUUGAACCUAGGCCACAGCAGUGAAAAUGCUGUGUCCUAAUCACUAGAUCACCAGGGAACUCUCAGUGUUAUCUAUUUUCUGCUGGGCAUAUAUUUUGAUUAUCUUCCUUUCCUGCAAAACUUUUUUAUUUUCUCUGGAGUUAAUAUUUGAUCUAAUUUUUCUAUUUUCCCAUGAAGUUAUUAUUAAUUCAACUCAAAUACCUUUUAUAAUUUUCUAAAGCUCCCCUUAAGAUGUUCAGAAACAUCAAGAAUUUUCUUUUUCAUUUUCUUAAAGCCAUCUUUUCUGGAGCUCUCUAAAUUUUUUCAGUUUAACCCCUAGACCUGAUGGAUAGCUUUAAAUUGGGAUCUCUCUUUGCUAUCAUUGAGGAAGUUACCUUUUGUGAAUUGGAACUUCUCUUUGCAUUGGAUUUAAAUCUUCAAUCUUACAUUCUCACCUUGUUUGUGCAUAGCCUCUAGUAGUUUCCUGAGAAAGGACACGUAAAAGUUAAAUUAUUUGAGAAUUUUAUGUUAGAAAAUAUAUUUAUUAUAUCCCAACAUCUUAUUGGUACUUUGGCUGGGUAUAGAGUUCUAUGGUAUAAAUUAUUUCCUUUCAGUAUUUUGAAGACAUUGUUCCACUAUUCUCUAGCUUCUGGCAUUGUCUUUGAGAAGUCUGAAGUCAUUAUUAUUCCUAAACCUUUGCAUGUGAAUCUUUUUUUCUUGAAAGCAUUUAAGAGCUUCUGAUCUUCAGUCCUAAAGUACUAUGAUAAUGGACCCUAGAAUAUAUUCAUUCAUUGCUGGGUACUUGAGGGAAAUUUCAAUCUAAGCUGGUUGCCGAGAUUAAAUGGAAGAGAAAUCAGGGAAUUACUAAUUAAUGAGCAUGAAGUUUUAGUUAAGUUUUACAUGAAUUCAGUUAAGAUGAAUAAGUACUAGAGAUGUGCUGUACACUGUUGCAUCUAUAGUCAACAAUAUUGUGUUGUACACUUAAAAUCUUAUGAAGGGGGUAGAUUUCAUGUUGUGUUCUUACCACAAUAAAAGAUUAAAAUGCCUUUUUCACAAUCUUGUGGUGAGAAUUAAAUGCAGAAUGCUAUAAAGCACUUGGUCUGCAAACAGUAUUUACUAUUGUUGUUCUUGUGGACUGGGGUCUGGAAGCAGGAAAAAGAGAGGACCAUGGCAAUAGGUUAAGUUCGAGAAGAAGAAAACCUGCGAAAAGGUAACAACCAUGAGGAUGGAGAGUUGAGAGGGCAGGUAUAGGAGAUGACACUGCACCAUGAGAACUGUGUGUGGGGGCGAAAAAAAGGAGGAAUCAAAGAGGAUUCAUGUGAUUGUGACCUCUAUUAUUUAUUAGUAAUAAGUGUAGAAAUAUCACAUUAUGAUAUUUCAACCCAAAAUGAUGACUUCCUUAGUGGCAUUAAAGAAGUGUCAUUCAGAAGUUAUCAUCUGAUCACUCCAGAGAUACUGGUUAACACUCCACUGGUGUUUGAUUAAGCUAAUGAGGUGGGCGAAGUGGUUUGUGCGUGUUGAAUUCAGGAAGCAUUUAUCUAGAAAUGGUGGACUACAGCCUAAAAAAGAAAAGCGAAGAUCACAAAAGCCGUGUUAAUAAUUUGCCUCAUAGUUUAUGCUGCAAUCUGUGCUGACCCUGGGGUUUUAGUUCCUGGGUUCCUUGCUAUGAACACCUGCAUUUGUGUGAUACUGCUAAUUUGAGCUUUGCAUUGCAUUCUCAAGCCCCCUGACGAGGACUCUUGGACAUCAUUCUGUAAUGGUUGUUUUCCUUCCAAAGGGGAAUGGAUGAAAUCAAUGAACUGAGACUAAUAUCUAUUGUUCUUAAGCAAGCAUCUGUGUGAUCAUUCCCAGGAAGAGAAAAAUAUAUUUUGCAGCAAAGGAAGAGAGCAAAAUUCCCUGUCAAAAGUUCCUCUUUGCUUGGAAAUCACAUCAGCUUACUUUAAAUGUUCUGAGUAAAGAAGAGAAGAAGAAAACUGCCCUUGGGAGACCUGAAUGAGGCAGGAGCUUUGUGUGCUAAAUACGCAGUCACCUCUAUGUGAAGGGAAUAAAGUCUAUAUGCUAGCUG